CACUGCGGAGACCUCGAACAACACAGACCUGACUGGAGGCAGCCCUGUCAGAAGAGAUGCUGGUCAGACCCACUGCUGGAGCAGAGGAGGGCACGAUCACAUGCGAAAAGACGUAGGUUCAAGUCCUGGCCCUGCACUGGCUGGAGACCCCGUGAUGCAGAGCAGAACUGGACUGGAACCCAGACCAUUCACAUACCAGCUCUCCACCUCCGGGGCCUGCAACCAGCCACUCUGACCCUCAAUUUCCUCAUCUGU